rnacentral:tRNA from 1 species
AUUUAAAUAGCUUAUUAAAAGUUUGACAUUGAAGAUGUUAAGAAAAUAUAUUAUUUUUAAAUA